rnacentral:lncRNA from 1 species
UGGUCAAAUAGUGCGGGGUUAUUGACCAAAAUCAAGAGAGGAAUGAGUUAAUCGAUUUUAGGAUUCAUUAACUCCUCUCUCUCUCGAUUUAGUCAAUAGCCCCACACGAUUUCACCAAGUUCAUUUCUCUCUCACCGAUUUGAAUCAAAACUCUAGUUUUUUAGAUUUUUCUCCUUUGUCGCUUCAAAAGUCAACGUCCCCAAUAUGUAUAACUUUGUCUUGGGGCAGUUUUAAAACCAAAUUUAAUUUUGUUUUAAAUGAUGGGUUAGGUCAAAUUUUAGUUAAAUUAUCAUAGGUUGGGUCAGAUUUUAAUUGAUAAACAUGAGAAUUAAACAUAGUUACGUCUCCAACAUCCAUAUCAAUUUUAGGAUUAAUGUAAUUAUGCUUGUGAUAUUUACUACAUAACUGCCUUGCAAGGCUAGCCCGUGUAGCGGAAGAGCUUUCAUCCUUCAAUGAAUCCAGUGUAGUUAGCUAAGUAUCCCAGCCGUAUGUGAUCUUCUCAAGGCCAGUCUCCAAAUUUCUCACAUGCUGCUAUUAUUUGUUCAAUACUUAG